CAGUUUGCAAGUGUUUUAAGCUGUAGGCUCAGCAUAAACAUAUGUACAAAUAUGGAGCUAUAUUUUUAAAUUGUAAACCGACUGUUCUGAUUCUCAGCACCUACAUGUACCAACCUGGACCUGGCCCCGGGUCUAAACCAGGACCUAAACCUGCUCCCAGCUCUAUGUCUUUGAAAAGUGACCGCUCUAAAGGCUGGGGUCCUAACUUUAGAGAACCUCCUCCUGACAACCAGAGCAGCUACAACAUGGACCCACGUGGACCUGGCCCCGGGUCUAAACGAAGACCUAAACCUGCUCCCAGCUCUGUGUCUCUAAAAAGUGACUGCUCUAAAGAAAACCCUCCUGUCUUUAAAGAGCCUCCUCCUGAAGACCAGAGCACCAACAAAAUGGACCCACAUGGACCUGGAUCUAAAUCCAGAAAUAGACCUGCUCCCAUCUGUGACUCUCUGAAAAGUGACCGCUCCAAAAGCUUGAUUAUGCAUUUCAAAGGAGCUCCUGACGAUCAGAGUCAUCACUCCAAAGACUUCUAUCCUG
rnacentral:lncRNA from 1 species